CACGAAAUGCUGCGUAAUUGUUGUUGGUCAACCGGUUUAAGCUAUGUUUGGACAUUUGUAUACCCUAUUUUCUUUAAAUUGCGAAGUUCAGAUAGCUGACUAGUGUAUGCCGUCAUUGGAGCCCCAGAUGAUACAAUGAUAUCAGAUGUAUAAUACCCUAGGGUAUUCAAUGAUUUUAUCUUUGAAUAAAAAGUAUCGGAACUAGUUUUGCGGUUCACUUCGUGAUAGAAAACUUUUUCAUAGGAACAAAAACAGAAUGGCGCGCUCUCAACUCUUGAAUUUUCCACUUCCAAAAUAUUCAUAGAUCCCUGAUCCCUCCUAAUACCCAAGUCGUCCCUGCUACGGACGCAACCAUUUCUUAAUGACUUAACCGAUGAUACUGUGGAAAUUUUAAAAGAUUUUUUUGUAUUGAAUCAACCGAUCCCACCGAGACUCGAUUUCGAAUAAUAACCACACAAACACUUGUGAGUGUGAAAAUAGUUUGAAAACCAUCUUGUUUAGUUUCUAAUCCUAUCAACCAUCCGGAGAAAAACGACAAUGUGGCAAUUUGUUUGUAUUUUGUAGUCAACUUUAAUAUACAAAAAGGACUGUACAUGGAGUGAUUAUCACAGUAAAAACUGAAUCGAAAUUUAACUAAGGAUAGAGCUGGCUUAAUGACACGAUGAUUUGGGGGAGAUGGUAGUGUUUGCUGCUUAAAAAUAUGACUUUACUAGUGCUAA
rnacentral:misc_RNA from 1 species